rnacentral:rRNA from 1 species
ACUCCUACGGGAGGCAGCAGUGGGGAAUAUUGCACAAUGGGCGCAAGCCUGAUGCAGCCAUGCCGCGUGUGUGAAGAAGGCCUUCGGGUUGUAAAGCACUUUCAGUCGUGAGGAAGGUAGUGUAGUUAAUAGCUGCAUUAUUUGACGUUAGCGACAGAAGAAGCACCGGCUAACUCCGUGCCAGCAGCCGCGGUAAUACGGAGGGUGCGAGCGUUAAUCGGAAUUACUGGGCGUAAAGCGCAUGCAGGUGGUUUGUUAAGUCAGAUGUGAAAGCCCGGGGCUCAACCUCGGAAUAGCAUUUGAAACUGGCAGACUAGAGUACUGUAGAGGGGGUUAGGAAUUUCAGGUGUAGCGGUGAAAUGCGUAGAGAUCUGAAGGAUACCGGUGGCGAAGGCGGCCCCUGGACAGAUACUGACACUCAGAUGCGAAAGCGUGGGAGC